CCUACGGGAGGCAGCAGUGAGGAAUAUUGGUCAAUGGACGAGAGUCUGAACCAGCCAAGUAGCGUGAAGGAUGACUGCCCUAUGGGUUGUAAACUUCUUUUAUAUGGGAAUAAAAUGUUCCACGUGUGGGAUUUUGUAUGUACCAUAUGAAUAAGGAUCGGCUAACUCCGUGCCAGCAGCCGCGGUAAUACGGAGGAUCCGAGCGUUAUCCGGAUUUAUUGGGUUUAAAGGGAGCGUAGGUGGAUUGUUAAGUCAGUUGUGAAAGUUUGCGGCUCAACCGUAAAAUUGCAGUUGAAACUGGCAGUCGUGAGUACAGUAGAGGUGGGCGGAAUGCGUGGUGUAGCGGUGAAAUGCUUAGAGAUCACGAAGAACUCCGAUUGCGAAGGCAGCUCACUGGACUACAACUGACACUGAGGCUCGAAAGUGUGGGUAUCAAACAGGAUUAGAUACCCGAGUAGUC
rnacentral:rRNA from 1 species